UACAGAGGUCCCGAGCGUUGUUCGGAUUCACUGGGCGUAAAGGGUGCGUAGGCGGCGCGGUAAGUCGGGUGUGAAAUCUCGGGGCUUAACUCCGAAACUGCAUUCGAUACUGCCGUGCUUGAGGACUGGAGAGGAGACUGGAAUUUACGGUGUAGCGGUGAAAUGCGUAGAUAUCGUAAGGAAGACCAGUGGCGAAGGCGGGUCUCUGGACAGUUCCUGACGCUGAGGCACGAAGGUCAGGGGAGCAAACGGG
rnacentral:rRNA from 1 species